rnacentral:rRNA from 1 species
AACGAACGCUGGUGGUAUGCUUAACACAUGCAAGUCGAACGAAUAAACCUGGAGCUUGCUCCGGGUGAGUUAGUGGCAAACGGGUGCGUAACACGUGGGAAUCUACCUGUCAGUACGGAAUAACUUUUGGAAACAAAAGCUAAUACCGUAUAUUCUCUUCGGAGGAAAGAUUUAUCGCUGACAGAUGAGCCCGCGCAAGAUUAGGUAGUUGGUAGGGUAAUGGCCUACCAAGCCAACGAUCUUUAGCUGGUCUGAGAGGAUGAUCAGCCACACUGGGACUGAGACACGGCCCAG